UACGGAGGAUCCGAGCGUUAUCCGGAUUUAUUGGGUUUAAAGGGUGCGUAGGCGGCCUAUUAAGUCAGGGGUGAAAUACGGUGGCUCAACCAUCGCAGUGCCUUUGAUACUGAUGGGCUUGAAUCCAUUUGAAGUGGGCGGAAUAAGACAAGUAGCGGUGAAAUGCAUAGAUAUGUCUUAGAACUCCGAUUGCGAAGGCAGCUCACUAAGCUGGUAUUGACGCUGAUGCACGAAAGCGUGGGGAUCGAACAGGAUUAGAUACCCUGGUAGUCCACGCCCUAAACGAUGAUAACUCGAUGUUGGCGAUAGACAGCCAGCGUCCAAGCGAAAGCGUUAAGUUAUCCACCUGGGGAGUACGCCCGCAAGGGUGAA
rnacentral:rRNA from 1 species